UGUCACUCUUGAGGUGCCUGGCUCU
rnacentral:piRNA from 1 species